rnacentral:rRNA from 1 species
AAUAGAUACCCCGGUAGUCCUAGCCCUAAACGAUGGAUACUUGGUGUGGGAGGGGUUGAAUCCUUCCGUGCCGGAGCUAACGCGUUAAGUAUCCCGCCUGGGGAGUACGGUCGCAAGGCUGAAACCCAAAGGAAUUGACGGGGGGCCCGCACAAGCGGUGGAGCAUGUGGUUUAAUUCGACGCAACGCGAAGAACCUUACCUGGGCUCGAACGGCUAGUGACAGAGGGUUGAAAGCUCUUCUUCCCUUCGGGGACACUAGUCGAGGUGCUGCAUGGCUGUCGACAGCUCGUGUCGUGAGAUGUUGGGUUAAGUCCCGCAACGAGCGCAACCCUUGCCUUUAGUUGCCAUCACGUUAUGGUGGGCACUCUAAAGGGACUGCCGGUGAAAACCCGGAGGAAGGUGGGGAUGACGCCAAGUCCGUCAUGGCCUUUAUGUCCAGGGUCUACACACGUGCUACAAUGGGCGGUACAGAGGGUUCGCAAACCCCGGCGAGGGGGUAGCUAAUCUCAAAACGCCGUCCUCAGUUCGGAUUGGAGUCUGCAACUCGACUCCAUGAAGUUGGAAUCGUAC